rnacentral:rRNA from 1 species
UGGCUCAGAACGAACGCUGGCGGCGUGCCUAACACAUGCAAGUCGCGCGAGAAAAGGGGGGCAACUCCAUGAGUAAAGCGGCGAACGGGUGAGUAACACGUAGGUAACCUACCCUUGAGUCCAGGAUAACCUACCGAAAGGUGGGCUAAUACCGGAUAUGACCACGGGGAUCUCGGUCCCUGCGGUGAAAGGUGGCCUCUGCUUGCAAGCUACCGCUCGAAGAUGGGCCUGCGCGCCAUUAGCUAGUUGGUAGGGUAACGGCCUACCAGGCAAAAGAUGGUUAGCUGGUCUGAGAGGAUGACCAGCCACACNGGUACNGUACAUACGGGACNGACUCCUACGGGAGUCAGNAGUGGGGAUUU